UCCUUAUCAUUUUAAUGUUACGUCGUUUUGCUUUAUAUGGGCUACUGUAGGUGCACUAACCUACAAAAGUAAGGAUCGAUACAGAUAGUAUCACGCUGUAGCGUAAUUUCCAAAAUGGUAGAAACGUUCUUUUCUCUUUGAUUGGGAAAAGACUUGUUUACGGUAGGCUAGUCUACAUCAUGUUUUCCUGCAUGAUGACGCAAAAUCAUGGUGGCAGCAGGCGUUUUUCAUUUCCCCAGUUGAACUUCUAGAUUGGCUUUCUGGACACUGUGGGUUUGUAUCAUUUAAGUGGGUCUGCAAAGCAUAAAUUGAUUCAAAUGAGUUCUGCUGAAGGUAGCUAUCCUAACCCUGCAUCAGCUGUUUUUAUUUAUGUUUAAUUUUUUAGUGCUGCUACAUGCUAACGAUGCUAUCAGCGAUUCCACUUGUGCUCGCUUGCCAAUUAGUAGGCCUACACAAACCAAAAUGGGAAAACGAUGCCUUUAGUUUAUUGAUGGGCGAGUCGGACCUUGUCAGGAAGCUGGAAUUCGAGGAUAGCCUUUGUGAACGCUUUUGGAAGGAAGAAGAAGACCUUUAAGGAAGCUGAACCAGAGAUCCAGUGAGGACAACUGCUUUACAAAAUGCAGGAUUUGCCCAAACAAUGUGCUUUCAUGAGCUUUGGUGCACGAGCUAUCCACCUGUGUCAAUGAUGCCUGGAUUGGAGUGAAACCACGUUGGAAGAACGAGUCCGCUAAAGGUUGAAAAUCCAAGAAUGAGUUUGAGAUUCCCACAGCUGCUAUCAUUCCAAACAUUACCAGGAACAUUCCUCCGAUGACUGGAUCAGGGAUGGUAAUAAAAAUGGCACCAAAUUUCCCAAAUAGUCCCAGGACAAUCAUCAGAACACCAGCAGUCUGCAGAACCAGUCUACUGCCAACCUAGGAGAGAAUAAAG